UACGAAGGGGGCUAGCGUUGCUCGGAAUCACUGGGCGUAAAGCGCACGUAGGCGGCUUUCUAAGUCAGGGGUGAAAUCCUGGAGCUCAACUCCAGAACUGCCUUUGAUACUGAAGAUCUCGAGUCCGGGAGAGGUGAGUGGAACUGCGAGUGUAGAGGUGAAAUUCGUAGAUAUUCGCAAGAACACCAGUGGCGAAGGCGGCUCACUGGCCCGGUACUGACGCUGAGGCACGAAAGCGUGGGGAGCAAACAGG
rnacentral:rRNA from 1 species